GGUUUGGAGAAGACUAGGACAACCAUAUGGGCACAUCAUUUCCUCACACACUCCUUGACGGAGAUGUAAUAUGCGAGUGUCAGGACAAAACACGAUAUACCAAAAAGUUUUGCCCCGGUUUAGUGUUUGGGAAAAUGAGCAUAGGGUAUGGAUCCAUGAAAAUUAGGGUCAACAAAUCAAAUGAAACGUGCAAAUCUGCCCCAGUCUUGGGAUCAUGGGUUGAUGAAAAAAUUGUAUGAGACUCACAAAGCUGCCCUAGUCUUGGGAUCAUGGGUUGAUGAAAAAUUUGUAUGAGACUCACAAAGCUGCCUCAGUUUUUUCCUUGGCAAUGGGUUCCGUUUGGAAGAGGUAGUGAGCAUGAAAAAGAUCGGCUAAAAGGACGACCCCAAUUGGUUUGAUUUUCUUUUACAUGCUUCUGGCUAGUUGGCAAGGAGAUCCCCUCUGCCCCGAGACAUUAUCUUCUCUUUUUUGUCAUUCAUUUUUUUCAUUCAUUCAUUUUCAACUUUUUUUUUUAUUUUUUUUUACGACACAUUGAAAGUCAUUUCGCCUUAUUGCAAAAUUAAGCUUUAUGAAAAAUUGAGCAAAUAUUAUCCAAUCUGUGUGGGCUUUAUUAGGCUUGUAACGUGGCUAGGGGCUAACAGGUAUUUGAAAAAAAGGAUAUGAAGGCCCAAAUGAAUGUUUGUUGGUUAUAUUUUUUGAAACAAGGGUUAUCAUCUAGACAUUGCAUCCACUCUUUGGCUUUAUGAGCACUUUGCUUGCUUUUUUUUUUUUUUGAACUUUGAUUUCCUUCCUUUUGCUCAAAAUCACUUUGUGAUUUCUUUUUGUUUUUUUUUUUUUGUUUUGUUUUUUUUUUCACUCUUCUUGAUGAAAUCUCUUUAUAUGAUCAUUGAGUGCUCUUCAUUUGCAUCAUGAGUUGACUCAUACUUGAUGACAACCCUUGCUUGGGGAUGAUUUUGAAAAAGAAUUUAUUUUUGGCUCAAACGGCGUGACAAUGGAUAUAUAUAUUUUUGCUUUUUUGAUAAAGACAAGAAGGCCACACAGCAUUUUGAACUUUGAUUGUUUUAUUUCAAAAGAUUAACCCUGCGACUAGAUGACCUCAACAUAAGUCGUUUUUUAAUUUUUUUUUCUAGUCUGCCCUUUUAGGCUUUCAAUAUAGUUGACUUAUUAUUCUUUUUUUUUUUUAAAUUCUUUUUUUGUCUCAAUGGAUUCGGGGAUCACCCUAUUGGUGCAAGCAAGAAAUCUUUUGGCCAGACCGGAUUGCCCCAGAGUAAAGGUUUACUUUGUUACUAAGGGCAGUAAUAGUGUUUGUUUUGGGGAAGAUGCUUAAUUUUGGAAAAGUAAAGGGUGAGGGUUUUCAACAACAUGUGCACAAACGUCUCGAGAAAAACGUCAAAUUUUUAUUUUUGAUUAAACACUGGACCUCAGAAAAGUCUGACACUACAACUUUUGUUUUUGAUUUAUCAUUUUUUUUUCAUUUUUUUUGUUAUUUUAGAAAAACAAGAGUUUGACGAUUUGCAAGAAAGACAAAUGACUCAAGAUUGCCUUCAUUUUUUGUUUUUCAAUUUUUUUUUGAAAUUUUAUUAGAUGAAAAAAAAAAGAGAAAACAAUGUAGUUCAAGUACUCUAGUCAGAAAUUAUAAACCCAUGAGACAUCGUCCCAGUAUAAUUUGGAUAUUAACACGAAAUAGAGUCAAUAGGGUGGCCCAUUAUUUAGAAGUUCACAAAAUGCGAGUCAGGAAAUCUUGGUCAACUAACUCGGGCCUUGGCCAUCACAUUCUUCAUUUCUCCGAUCAGUUUAUUGUAGCAAUUGAGGAAUGUUUCAACCCCCUUAAGCGGGCUAAAGAUGGCAUUGCAGACUCAGCAUCAGCUAAUAGCUCAGGAACGCCGUUAAUGUCUUUGUUAGCAAGGGAAACUGGUUGCAAAAGGCCCCCC
rnacentral:lncRNA from 1 species